UGGAUGCAGCCCUGGGCUGAGGGGAAAAACCUGACAUUGCUGAAAAUGGCAGCUGAGACAUCCACAGAAGUUGCAAAAACAGCCAAACAAUCUGUCCUUAAGGAAGAGGUAAUCGUAGAAAGACAAUGGUUGAAGCUUUCAGAAACAACUUACACUGAUCCCUUUGGGAAAACCAGAACUUGGGAAACUGUAAAGCGUACUGGCAACAAAAAGGGAGUUACAGCUGAUGGUGUAGCAGUGAUAGCAGUGCUGCAGAGAACCCUGCACUACGACUGCAUUGUCCUGGUGAAACAGUUCAGGCCCCCAGUCAAUGGCUACUGCUUGGAAUUUCCUGCAGGCCUCAUUGAGGAAAACGAGUCAGCAGAAAGUGCUGCGCUUCGAGAGCUGAAGGAAGAGACUGGCUACAAGGGGGAGGUCAUUGAAUGUACUCCAGCUCUGUGCUUGGACCCAGGAAUGUCAAACAGCACAACACACAUUGUGAGUGUCAUCAUUAAUGGAGAUGAGGCUGAGAACACGAGACCUAAGCAAAACCUUGGUGAGUUUUAAUUUGUGGAAGUUGUUACACUUCCAAAGAAUGACCUACUGCAGAGGAUUGAUGAGCUGGUAGCAGAGGAGCAGCUGGCAGUAGAUGCCAGGGUUUACACGUACGCGCUGGCUCUGAAGCGCGCAGCAGAAAAACCGCUCCAAGUUCCUUUCAUGAAGUUCUAGAACUGGACAAUGAGAAAUUGAAUUCAAAACUGCCCAAGCUGGAUGGCUUAGAAGUAUAACUCUUCUUGUAAUCAAGGUCAUUUACUUUACUUGUUGAGCAAAAAAAGUGUUUGUAGUAAUGAUUCUGGUAUUUUUAUUUCUAAUUAUGUAACUGACAAAAAGCAUUUCUUCUAAUUGCUCUGUCAAGCCUUGACAGAA